GAGCUGCAUUCAAGGAACGCUUCUUUGUCUAGAAAUAAGUAUCACAUCUCCAUUGACCUCCACGCCUACUGAUGAGGUAGGUUUCUUAUGUGAGAGGCUGGUUAAAAGAUGCAUUCAGGAAUCGCGUAUUAGCCAGAGAUGUGUUCAGCGCGUGUCCACUGCAACUUGAUACCUGCUGUUGAGAUCUCUCAGACACUCUGCAGUCUAUCACCAGAGGCUCUCCAAGGUGAACGGUCAGGGUAAACCAAGCCACCCUGCUCUGUAAGCCUGUUUCUCGCCAUGAACACCAGACUGAAACACUGAAAUUCUCUUAGAAACUCCCAUCAACAAUGAAAUCACCGGGAUCCCUGGGUGGCGCAGCAGUUUGGCACCUGCCUUUGGCCCAGGGCGCGAUCCUGGAGACCCGGGAUCGAAUCCCACGUCGGG